rnacentral:misc_RNA from 1 species
UUUCCGUAGGUGAACCUGCGGAAGGAUCAUUAUCGAGUUUUGAAUGGGUUGUCUGCUGGCUCGCAAGGGCAUGUGCACGCCUGUCUCAUCCACUCUCAACUUCUGUGCACUUUUCAUAGGCCGGCUUGUGGGUGCGUUCGCGCACUUGUAGGUGUCGGGCUUAUGCUUUACUACAAACGAUUCAGUUUUAGAAUGUCAUACUUUGCUAUAACGCAAUUAUAUACAACUUUCAGCAACGGAUCUCUUGGCUCUCGCAUCGAUGAAGAACGCAGCGAAAUGCGAUAAGUAAUGUGAAUUGCAGAAUUCAGUGAAUCAUCGAAUCUUUGAACGCACCUUGCGCUCCUUGGUAUUCCGAGGAGCAUGCCUGUUUGAGUCUCAUGGAAUUCUCAACCUUCAGCUUUAUUGAUGAAGGCUUGGACUUGGAGGUCGUGCCGGCUCUCGUAGUCGGCUCCUCUGAAAUGCAUUAGUGCGAACGUUACCAGCCGCUUCAGCGUGAUAAUUAUCUGCGUUGCUGUGGAGGGUAUUCUAGUGUUCACGCUUCUAACCGUCUUCGGACAAAUUUCUGAACUCUGAGCUCAAAUCAGGUAGGACUACCCGCUGAACUUAA